rnacentral:rRNA from 1 species
GACGGAGGAUGCAAGCGUUAUCCGGAAUGAUUGGGCGUAAAGCGUCCGCAGGUGGCAGUUCAAGUCUGCUGUCAAAGACCGGGGCUUAACUUCGGAAAGGCAGUGGAAACUGAACAGCUAGAGUAUGGUAGGGGCAGAGGGAAUUCCUUGUGUAGCGGUGAAAUGCGUAGAGAUCAGGAAGAACAUCGGUGGCGAAGGCGCUCUGCUGGACCAUAACUGACACUCAGGGACGAAAGCUAGGGGAGCGAAUGGG